GAUGAACGCUGGCGGCGUGCCUAAUACAUGCAAGUCGAGCGAAUGGAUUAAGAGCUUGCUCUUAUGAAGUUAGCGGCGGACGGGUGAGUAACACGUGGGUAACCUGCCCAUAAGACUGGGAUAACUCCGGGAAACCGGGGCGAAUACCGGAUAACAUUUUGAACCGCAUGGUUCGAAAUUGAAAGGCGGCUUCGGCUGUCACUGAUGGAUGGACCCGCGUCGCAUUAGCUAGUUGGUGAGGUAACGGCUCACCAAGGCAACGAUGCGUAGCCGACCUGAGAGGGUGAUCGGCCACGCUGGGACUGAGACACGGCCCAGACUCCUACGGGAGGCAGCAGUAGGGAAUCUUCCGCAAUGGACGAAAGUCUGACGGAGCAACGCCGCGUGAGUGAUGAAGGCUUUCGGGUCGUAAAACUCUGUUGUUAGGGAAGAACAAGUGCUAGUUGAAUAAGCUGGCACCUUGACGGUACCUAACCAGAAAGCCACGGCUAACUACGUGCCAGCCGCCGCGGUAA
rnacentral:rRNA from 1 species